CAAUGCGCAUGCUCAGUAGCACCAAACCUCGUGGUAAAAUGGUAGCAAUGGAGGACAGGAGGCUCACAAAAAGGCUAUAAUGUCUGGAAGAGGUCUAGAACAGAGAUCCUGCGCUUGCUGACCGGCCAUGUAUCGAUCUUACCUUCCCCGGCCAUCUAUAUUUAUUAUUGAGGCUUAGUCAACCAUUGAUUUCAACGCGGAAGGAAAGCAGUGAAACUCUACCUGCAUGGAUUAUUGGUCUGUGAAUCGAUCUAAAGUUUUCUGCACUCCGGAGACUCACAAUUGUUCCGACUUUGUACAUACCCGCUGUCCGUUCCCGCAGGCCACUGGACCGUCCUAGGCCAGACUUUAUUGCAAGCUUUAUUGACAGUUGACUUUCAGCUUAUAAUACCUGUACAAUAAUGUUGUUUCUUAUAUUUUAUUUUAAGAGAUUUUUGCUGUCAACCCACA